rnacentral:ncRNA from 1 species
UCGACAGUUUGAAUCCCUUCGAGUUUUUCGUUUGUGAAAUUAAGUAUAGGAACCAACCAUAAUCACGGCGGCGUAAUGUAGCAAUAUAUUACGAGAUGCUGACUUAUAUCGGUGAAAUCCCAAUCUAAAUGGGACAACACCGAGGGAAGUUUGUGUACUGAAUAGUGGAAAAGCAACGUUGUGCUCAGUCCUGGUACUCGCGAGGUAACUCGGAGUCGUAAUCCAGGUUCAUAGAGGCGUAAAAACGUUUCGUUGCUUUUUCACCCAGACUAAUGAAUUAAAUUUCAUUGGUCCCACUAUUCAGUACACAAGUACCCGUAGAGACUGAACGUUAGCUAUCCAGCUUUUUAAAAAGUACUGGAUAAAGAUACAGUCCGAUGCACUUAGUAAUAAGUGA